rnacentral:rRNA from 1 species
GACGGGGGAUGCAAGUGUUAUCCGGAAUCACUGGGCGUAAAGCGUCUGUAGGUGGUUUCCUAAGUCCACUGUUAAACCUUGAGGCUCAACCUCAAAUCUGCAUUGGAAACUAGGAGACUUGAGUAUAGUAGGGGUAGAGGGAAUUUCCAGUGGAGCGGUGAAAUGCGUAGAUAUUGGAAAGAACACCGAUGGCGAAGGCACUCUACUGGGCUAUUACUGACACUCAGAGACGAAAGCUAGGGGAGCAAACAGG